rnacentral:lncRNA from 1 species
AUUAUCUAUAUAUGUUAAAUAAAAAAUGGAUAUAGAUAUGAAUAUAAUGAUGUCUGAUCCAUAUUUGAUCGUUUUCAGCCCUAAAACCAAAUCAAUUUUUUUCUUGCCAUAUUCUUCCAAACUCAAAGAUUCAAAAAGCAUUAUUAAGAUCCAUUUAUAUAAUAUAAUAUAAUAUAUACUUAUUGCAACAAUAGAAGCAGCAAAAUAAAUGAUAUUAAACAUGUUAUUUCAUGGCAGCUAAAAUAUGAGCUUAGAGAUUAUUAUUUAACAGAGCUGAAAAAUACAAUGAGUUUUGCACCAUAAGGAAUAUAGGUCAAUGAAUCAUUAGAAUCAUUGAUGAUUCUAAAAUGGAAAUUAACUAUGGUCUUGGUGGCAUUUGCAAGUCACUGAUGCUUCCUUCCAACAUAUUCACUACUCUA